GCGGGCGGGGCGCUCUCUUGGGAUCCUCGCGCGCGUUCCUACGGCUAGGGACCGGUGCUGACGGGGAGUAGCCACGGUGUCAAUGCGGUGCCCCGCGAUGUGGUGACCCGAACUGUGCGACAGAGAAAAAUCCUACUGAAUUUAGAUGUGCGGCCGAAGACCACUGGGGCUUGCCGGAAUGCCAGGGCGAGGAGAAGGGAGGGAGAGAUGGAGCGAAACAUCCAUGUAGUGAGUUGCCAGGGACAGAAUCUACGUAUGGGACAUUGCUGCAAUGCACACCAGCCAGGACCGGAUAAGGCUCAUCAUAGAGGGCAAGAUGGAUCUUGAGCACACCAUGUGCUGGCCUCCCUGUGAAGCCAAGACCUCUCUGUGGUUCCUGGGUGACCUUGAAGCCGACAUGGCCAGCCAAGUCAUGCAGGAAGAGCAACACUUGAGUGCUGCAUUCGACAUCCUAUGUAAUCUAUGAUCACCCAGGGAAGGGCUGGAGAAGGCUGACUCCUCAACUUGAAGUGUCUGAGACCAAGAUUGAUGCCUUCAAGGUGAAGUAUCCAGGUAACCUGGAUGAAUGGCUGAGGCAUUUGCUAAGAGCCUGGAACAGCAAGGGGAAGGACACCCAGGGACUGGCAGUUGAACCUGGUGGCAGACCUCAUGGGAGAUCAGCCCAGGCCCUCCAGGGCAAACAUGAGAAGUGUUAGCUGCACUGUGUGCCUGGUAUUAUGGAACUGAGCACGUACCUCUGGAGCUCCUGGUGAUCCAU